rnacentral:tRNA from 1 species
GCGUCUUUAGUAUAGUAGGUAUAUUAAAUUUAGAUUUUAAUGGAAUUUGAUGCU